UACGAGGGGGGCAAGCGUUGUUCGGAAUUAUUGGGCGUAAAGGGCGCGUAGGCGGUGCGGUAAGUCUUCUGUGAAAUCUCCGGGCUCAACUCGGAGCCUGCAGAGGAAACUGCCGUGCUGGAGUGUGGGAGAGGAGAGUGGAAUUCCCGGGUGUAGCGGUGAAAUGCGUAGAUAUCGGGAGGAACACCCGUGGCGAAAGCGGCUCUCUGGACCACUACUGACGCUGAGGCGCGAAAGCUAGGGGAGCAAACAGGG
rnacentral:rRNA from 1 species